AGUUCAGGUUGCAGGCUGCAACUCGCCUGCAUGAAGUCGGAAUUGCUAGUAAUCGUAGGUCAGCAUACUACGGUGAAUACGUUCCCGGGCCUUGUACACACCGCCCGUCAAACCAUGAGAGUUGGCAACACCCGAAGUCGGUAGUCUAACCGCAAGGAGGACGCCGCCGAAGGUGGGGUCGAUGAUUAGGGUUAAGUCGUAACAAGGUAUC
rnacentral:rRNA from 1 species